rnacentral:rRNA from 1 species
UACGGGGGGAGCAAGCGUUGUUCGGAUUUACUGGGCGUAAAGGGCGCGUAGGCGGCGUGGCAAGUCACUUGUGAAAUCUCCGGGCUUAACUCGGAACGGUCAAGUGAUACUGCUGUGCUAGAGUGCGGAAGGGGCAACUGGAAUUCUUGGUGUAGCGGUGAAAUGCGUAGAUAUCAAGAGGAACACCUGCGGCGAAGGCGGGUUGCUGGGCCGACACUGACGCUGAGGCGCGAAAGCUAGGGGAGCGAGCGGG